UACGUAGGGACCAGGCGUUGUUCGGAUUUACUGGGCGUAAAGGGCGCGUAGGCGGCAAUUCAAGUCAUCUGUGAAAUCUCCGGGCUUAACUCGGAACGGUCAGAUGAUACUGCUUUGCUCGAGUGCGGAAGGGGCAAUCGGAAUUCUUGGUGUAGCGGUGAAAUGCGUAGAUAUCAAGAGGAACACCUGAGGUGAAGACGGGUUGCUGGGCCGACACUGACGCUGAAGCGCGAAAGCCAGGGGAGCAAACGGG
rnacentral:rRNA from 1 species